AGCGCUGCCUACAAUAUACUCUCACAAAUGUUAUGCCGCCGUCUAUUACCGAUUGCAAGAGAGCUCGUGGGGCAAUAUCAGGCUGGAUUUAUGGAUGAACGCGCUACAAUGGGGCAGAUGUUUGCCAUCCGCCAGGUGUUGCAAAAAUGCCGCGAAUACAACGUGCCCACACAUCACUUGUUCAACGAUUUCAAAUCGUCGUAUGAUACAAUCGAUCGAGAACAGCUAUAGCAGUUUAUGCACGAAUACGGACUCCAGAUAAACUGAAACGAUUAAUCAAGGCGACGAUGGAUCGAGUGAUGUGCGUAGUUCGAGUAUCAGGGACACUCUCGAAUCCCUUCGAAUCUCGCAGAGGGUUACGGCAAGGUGAUGGUCUUUCGUCCUUGCUGUUCAACAUUGCUGUAGACGUAGAGGGUGUAAUAAGGAGAGCGGGGAUAAACACGAGUGGGACGAUAUUAAUAUUAAAGCUCGAAAUUUUGAGACGAUGGCGGAAACGUACAAAGUGCAUGAUGGCAAAGGGCUCCAAGGCGGGCGUGGGCCCGCCACCCCAAAUUUCUAUCGACGGUGAUGAAAUCGAGGCGGUUGAAAAAUUCGUGUACUUGGGCUCACUGGUGACCGCCGACAACGACACCGACAAAGAAAUUCAGAGACUCAUUGUAGCAGGAAAUCGAGCUUACUUUGGACUCCGCAGAACUCUACGAUCGAACAAAGAUCGCCGUCAUACGAAGUUAACUAUCUACAAAACGCUGAUUAGACCGGUAGUCCUCUAUGGGCAUGAAGCAUGGACCCUACGUGCAGAGGAUCAACGCGCCCUUGAAGUUUUCGAACGGAAGGUGUUGCGUACCAUCUACGGUGGAGUGCAGAUGGAAGACUGGACUUGCUGCCGAGAGAACCAACCAUCGUCCACACUGCGAAAAUCGGGAGGCUACGGUGGAUGGGUCACGUCAUCAGGAUGUCAGACAGCAACAAAAUGGUUUUCGAGGGUCAUCCGACCGGUACAAGAAGACGUGGUGCGCACUAGCUGGUAGGUCGACGAAGUGGAGGACGAUCUGCGGACCCUAUGCAGAAUACAGAACUGGAGACACACAGCCAUGGAUCGAAUGGAAUGGAGACGGCUGCUAUGUACAGCAGAGGCCAACCAGGCCAUACACACUUAAUUUGGAAUACCGUGUUCGGUACAUUUUUGACGAAAAUAGAACAGCUGAAUGCAGCUAUACUGCAUUGUUUACCUUUUAUACCUGUUAUACCUUUUACUCCCGGUUUUGACAGAUGGUUUACUGAGCCUCAGUAAAAUCGAUUACCGAAGCUACCGAAACAGUUCUGCUGUUCUAUUUUCUUCAAAAAAGUGCUGAACAGGCAAUUCAGGAUUGAAUGUGUAGUCUGAUCGGUAAGUAAGUAAGGCGUGAGCCACUACUGGCGAUCCGCUAAGGCCUAUGAAUACAGGGCGGCGUUUGUAUAUGUCACUCUGAUAAAGGCUAGCAAGAGCUCAACCACGCCAAACUUCGUUGGCUUACAGAAUAACUUUACUCCAACGCCUAGCUUAGCUAGUAUGUUAUAGUUCCAUCUUCGUCGGUCUUGGCCGACGUUCCUCCAGUUUUGAAGUCACCGAUCUUAACUUGGUCUCCUGCUGAAUAUUGUUUUCGCAAUUCUUGUUUCCAGCAUUCAUACUACGUGUCUAGCCCACUACUGUCUACUAUUUUCUAUAAGUUUCACAAUAUUCGCCUCGCUGUACACUUGGUACAGCUCGUUGUCCACAGCACUCAGUCACUAAAAAUAGCUUUUUUGUAUACCUCCUUUAAGGUCUGCGCCUCGUGACCUUCAAGGGCCAUAGGAAGAAUUUACCUAUCAUGCAGAGCUCUUUUGCGUUUGCAUUUGCUAGUUACGCAAUCCUUAAAAAACCCUAUUCGAAGCUGCAAUACGCCUUUCUACUUCACUGGGAACGUCACUGUCCCAAGUAUGUCAAGAAAAACAAAUUCAAACAAAUCCUCAUUAAUUACUAUCUCAGCACUAACACCAAUAGGCUUUCAUUUGUCUCUAGCCGCAAUUACGUACUUCGUCUCGGACAAGAGCAUAAGCUUCAUUCACAGCCCUAAGAUCGAUAUCCAUGAGAUCAAUAUAGUCCGCAAAGCCGUGGAACAUGUGCGAGCGUAUGAUGGAUGAUUGUGCCAUUCCUCUGCACACCAGACUUCCUAAUCACUUCUUCGAGUACAAUACUGAACAGUACCAUAUGGCAACAGCUGUAAAGGCGUGAGUAUUCAGCAUGAUCAAGCUGAGGGUGACGGGUUCGAUCACCGUUCGGUCCAGGAACUUUUCGUAGAAAAAACUUUCUUGCCUUCCUUGGGCAUGGAGUAUCUUGUGCUUAAUAAAAUCAACAUUCCACCGUGUGAUCAACACGAUCUUCACAAGUUGAUUCAUAUCGAGCCCUGAUCAGCAUCCCAACCACAGGAUCAAAUCGUAGGCAAAGAUUUCAAAUGGUCAAUGCUUUUCUUUGACUAACAAGCGAGAAAAAAAAGUAUCCGUAAAUACAGUCAGUCCCCAUAUGAAUUCGUCAAAUAACUGCUUUUUACCUUCAUUCAACGCAUUUUAGAUACUAAUGAAGCUGUAAACGAAUGGUUAAGAUAAAGAAAGACACAAUGAGAAGCGCCCCAUUAGAUAAUGGAUCAUGGUUAGAAAAAAGAAAAGCAUCUGUUUUAGCGUUCUCUCCAAAGAAUGCUGAACAGCUUUUAAUUAGGUGUCCGAUAAAAAAAUCGAUCAUCACCAGAGCCUGGAAGAUUCAUUCAAAAAUGAACGAAUUGCUAGUUUUCACGCUGCUUUGAAUCACAUUUUUCGUUCGCUCUCCUGGACUGCACACCAUCGCACAUCGCUUGGCUCACGAAGAACGGCGGAAGCAACUAAACAACACUCAAGUCCACCGGUGGGUGCGAAUGCCUCAUGCUGAAGUAUAUUCACGACCAACCGUGGCGAUGAAUGUUUAUCACUCGUCGGGGCUGACCGAAGCGAGGAAUGCCAGUUCCACUCUCCUUUGCUUGUUGCUAAAUGAACGAACCAAACGUACACACUAUCAGCAACAGAGACAGAUAUAUCCAAGCCACAUGUAAGAGCGAGAACGCAUGUGUUGCUUCUCGGUGAUAAACAAACACACACCAGAAUAUUCGACGCCGUCGUUUCCAAUAAAUAGAGAUAAGUGACAUUUCAUCACACGAACACUAGCUUGAAUUUUUCCAUACACAAAAAUGCACGCCAAUUCAAAGGCUAUUCAGAUUGCAUAUGAAAAUAUUACCCAACUGAUUUGGGUAAAACGGCUAAAUAAUGAUAAAACUAACAACCGGGGUAAGAGUGCACAUAUUUUCCCCCAAGUUUCACUACUACCCCACCAGGAAAAAUGUGAGACGUGAGACAUCUGUGAGGCACUGUUAGGUAUGCUGCUGCUCGAACAACAUGCAGCAUAUGCUUUUCUUCUUCUUUUUUUGGUUUUGUUUAUGUUGUUGUUGUUGGAAGUUAUGCAAGCGAAGCUGUUUGCAAAAAAAAACAACAACCGCCGCGAGUAGGUACAACGUCGUCUGUUUUGAAUGGUGCCGGAAAAAGAAUCGGUUCGCGGGUUCGCAGUAUCCGGGUGGUUUUUAUACGUAGAAGCCCAGGUUGAUUCCGGUUUCGUGCGCGGUAAGAUCCGGGAGACAGAUUAUAAACAAUUCGGUCCUGAAAGUCUCUCAAGAGUUUUCUUUUUUGCCGGGGUUGGAGAUGGAAAAAAACCAGUUUGCAAAAAAAAAACAACCUCCGAGAGUACAACCGUACAAGGUCGUUUGUUGGAUGGUGCCGGUAAAACAAUCGGCACAUAUCGGUUCGCGUUCGCAGUGUCCGGGGAUCUUUGAAGGUGAAACCAAAGGAAACGCAGGUGGAUUCGGGUUCCGUGCGUGGUCAGAUCCGCGGCGCGGAUUUCGGCGCUGAAGUGUUCCAAGUGUUGGGUUACGUUUGUUUUGGAAAGGAUGAGUUGGUGCCAAUAUGAAAUAGUGGAGAAAACGGUUUAUCCUGGAAUAAAGCUAACAUGUGAAAAUGAUGUUAUCCACGAUAAGAAAAGGUGUUCCGGGAUCCGGAAGGGGUGCCUCAUGACAUGUGCGAUAAGUGUUUAAGUUUUUGCGCUUUUUUCGAAAAAAUGUUUCACAAAGGUACAUAUUAAAUAGUGAAAAAUAUUGAAACGUGGAAAAAUGGUGUACCCUGGAACAUGCAAUAAUGAUGUUACCCAGGAUGUGAAGUAGUGUUUGCAGUUGCGAAUAUGCGCUCCCUAGUCCCGCAAUCUGUGGACAAAGAUUCGUUGCGUGAAAACGGAAUCUGACGGAACUGCGCGAACCAUGGGAUAUGCCAAAUAAUAUGCAGCGAUGGAUUUUGUCAACGAGGACUGGAAACGAUCGGCCGACAGAAUAGAUUCAUCAGCGCAGCGUUUAUAUAGUCCAAUGAGUAAGUAAAUUUGUACCUUUUUACCUAACUCCAUGGUGCAAUUCUAAAUGCUCAAUUAAGCAAUGCUUUAAAAAUUUGAAUUUUGUUGAGAAUUGGUAUCGUAAGAUGGUGAUUCUUAUGGAACUCCUUGGAGUAAUUCUCAGUGCUUGAAUAAUAAAUUUUGUUAAGAAUUGUUGUCGUUAGAUGACGGUUUUUAUGAAACUCCUUGGAGCAAUUCUGAGUGCUUAAUUAAGAAAUGCCUCAAUAAUCUGACUUUUAUUAAGAAUUAUUGUCGUAACAUGGCGAUUCUUAUGAAACUCCUUGGAGCAAUUCUGAGUGCUUGAAUAAUAAAUUUUGUUAAGAAUUGUUGUCGUGAGAUGACGGUUCUUAUGAAACUCCUUGAAGCAAUCAUGAGUGCUUGGUUAAGAAAUGCUUUAAUAAUCUGACUUUUGUUGAGAAUUGGUGUCGUAAGAUGGCGAUUCUUAUGAAACUCCUUGGAGCAAUUUUGAGUGCUUAAUUAAUAAAUGCUUUAAUAAUCUGACUUUUGUUGGGAAUGGGGCACGUUCGAUGUAGUACUAGAUUUGUAGUAAUGAGCUGAAUUUUUGUAUGGUGAGAAGGUCAGUUCUCUGUUUCUACAAUGAAAUGGUACAAAAAGCGUGGGUAUUAUGAUUCCUUGCCUAAUUUGAUGCUGUUUGAGCAAAACUUUGGAUAACUAUAUUGUUUAUGUUGCAAGAAAUUGAGAAAACAACAACACUGUUGCCCAAAGUUUUGCUCAAACAGCAUCAAAUAAGGCAAGGAAUCAUAAUACCCACGCUUUUGGAUCCAUUUCACUGCAGAAACGGAGAAUUGACCUUCUCACCAUACUAAAAUUCAGCUCAUUACUACACAUCUAGUACUUCACCGAUCUGUACUAUUGGUGUUGUAAGAUGGCGGUUCUUAUGAAACUCCUUGGAGCAAUUCUGAGUGUUUAAUUAAGAAAUGCUUUAAGAAUCUGACUUUUGUUGAGAUUUGGUGUCGUAAGAUAGCGAUUCUUAUGAAACUUCUUGGAGCAAUUCUGAGUGCUUGAAUAAUAAAAUUUGUUAAGAAUUGUUGUCGUGAGAUGACGGUUCUUAUGAAACUCCUUGAAGCAAUCAUGAGUGCUUGGUUAAGAAAUGCUUUAAUAAUCUGACUUUUGUUGGGAAUUGGUGUCGUAAGAUGGCGGUUCUUUUGGAACUUCUUGGAGCAAUUCUUAGUGAUUUAAUAAUAAAUUUGGUUAAGAAUUGUUGUCGUAAGAUGGCGAUUCUUAUGAAACUCCUUGGAGCAAUUCUGAGUGCUUAAUUAAGAAAUGCUUUAUUAAUCUGACUUUUGUUGAGAAUUGGUGUCGUAAGAUGGCGAUUCUUAUGAAACUCCUUGGAGCAAUUUUGAGUGCUUAAUUAAGAAAUGCUUUAAGAAUCUGACUUUUGUUGAGAUUUGGUGUCGUAAGAUAGCGAUUCUUAUGAAACUUCUUGGAGCAAUUCUGAGUGCUUGAAUAAUAAAAUUUGUUAAGAAUUGUUGUCAUGAGAUGACGGUUCUUAUGAAACUCCUUGAAGCAAUCCUGAGUGCUUGGUUAAGAAAUUCUUUAAUAAUCUGACUUUUGCUGAGAAUUGGUGUCGUAAGAUGGCGGUUUUUAUGAAACUCCUUGGAGCAAUUCUGAGAGUUUAAUUAAGAAAUGCUUUAAGAAUCUGACUUUUGUUGAGAUUUGGUGUCGUAAGAUAGCGAUUCUUAUGAAACUUCUUGGAGCAAUUCUGAGUGCUUGAAUAAUAAAAUUUGUUAAGAAUUGUUGUCGUGAGAUGACGGUUCUUAUGAAACUCCUUGAAGCAAUCAUGAGUGCUUGGUUAAGAAAUGCUUUAAUAAUCUGACUUUUGUUGGGAAUUGGUGUCGUAAGAUGGCGGUUCUUUUGGAACUUCUUGGAGCAAUUCUUAGUGAUUUAAUAAUAAAUUUGGUUAAGAAUUGUUGUCGUAAGAUGGCGAUUCUUAUGAAACUCCUUGGAGCAAUUCUGAGUGCUUAAUUAAGAAAUGCUUUAUUAAUCUGACUUUUGUUGAGAAUUGGUGUCGUAAGAUGGCGAUUCUUAUGAAACUCCUUGGAGCAAUUUUGAGUGCUUAAUUAAGAAAUGCUUUAAGAAUCUGACUUUUGUUGAGAUUUGGUGUCGUAAGAUAGCGAUUCUUAUGAAACUUCUUGGAGCAAUUCUGAGUGCUUGAAUAAUAAAAUUUGUUAAGAAUUGUUGUCAUGAGAUGACGGUUCUUAUGAAACUCCUUGAAGCAAUCCUGAGUGCUUGGUUAAGAAAUUCUUUAAUAAUCUGACUUUUGCUGAGAAUUGGUGUCGUAAGAUGGCGGUUUUUAUGAAACUCCUUGGAGCAAUUCUGAGAGUUUAAUUAAGAAAUGCUUUAAGAAUCUGACUUUUGUUGAGAUUUGGUGUCGUAAGAUAGCGAUUCUUAUGAAACUUCUUGGAGCAAUUCUGAGUGCUUGAAUAAUAAAAUUUGUUAAGAAUUGUUGUCGUGAGAUGACGGUUCUUAUGAAACUCCUUGAAGCAAUCAUGAGUGCUUGGUUAAGAAAUGCUUUAAUAAUCUGACUUUUGUUGAGAAUUGGUGUCGUAAGAUGGCGAUUCUUAUGAAACUCCUUGGAGCAAUUUUGAGUGCUCAAUUAAUAAAUGCUUUAAUAAUCUGACUUUUGUUGGGAAUUGGUGUCGUAAGAUGGCGGUUCUUAUGGAACUCCUUGGAGCAAUUCUGAGUGCUUGAAUAAUACAUUUUGUUAAGAAUUGUUACCAUGAUUCUACCGUCAUUCUUAUGAAACUCCUUGGAGCAAUUCUGAGUGCUUAAUUAAGAAAUGCUUUAAAAAUCUUGGAGCAAUUCUUAGUGAUUGAAUAAAAAAAUUUGUUAAGAAUUGUUGUCGUAAGAUGGUGAUUCCUAUGAAACUUUUUGGAGUAAUUCUUGAAUAAUAAAUUUUGUUAAGAAUUGUUGUCGUGAGAUGACGGUUCUUAGGAAACUCCUUGGAGCAAUUCUGAGUGCUUGAAUAAUAAAUUUUGUUAAGAAUUGUUGUCGUAAGAUAGCGAUUCUUAUGAAACUUCUUGGAGUAAUUCUUGAAUAAUAAAUUUUGUUAAGAAUUGUUGUCGUGAGAUGACGGUUCUUAUGAAACUCCUUGGAGCAAUCCUGAGUGCUUGGUAAAGAAAUUCUUUAAUAAUCUGACUUUUGCUGUGAAUUGGUGUCGUAAGAUGGCGAUUCUUAAGAAACUUCUUGGAGUAAUUCUUGAAUAAUAAAUUUUGUUAAGAAUUGUUGUCGUAAGAUGGCGAUUCUUAUGAAACUCCUUGGAACAAUUCUGAGUAAUUAAGCUAUGCAUCAAUACCGUAUGCGUAAUAAUGUUUGCACCAUCGUUGAAUAACGUUCCAGUUUUACUUGUGAAUACAAUAUAUUGGUUUUAUUUGCAGGCAUUUCAGCUAUAACUCAUAUCAUGACAACCAGGGUUGGGAAUAUUCACUUUAAACUUACAAGAGCUCGUCAAUCGACUGGCAACGCCGUAGCUCAGCAAAUAUAUAUACGGUAAAACUUAAAUUUCCUAUCUGAAUUUCGGCCAAACAUUUUCACAUUCUCAGCAAAUAAACAACACGAUUGAAAAACAAGUUUGCGACGGUGUCAAUUUUGAUAAAAAUGAUGAAAAAUGGCCGAGAUUCGACGAUAAAAAAAUAAGUUUGUUGCAAGAAGUUAACUCGUCGAGAAACAUUUUAUAAAAAUACAAUUUAAUAUAUUUUGUUGUUAAUAAUAAUAUUAUCUGAAACUGUUUUGAACGAUGUACUACGGUAUUCUAGCAGCAACCCAUUUAUUUUUGGAGAAAAAUUGAGUUUGUUUAGAGGAAGAAGGAAUUCUUGCAGGUGAGUUUUAUUUUCUUUCCACUAUUCAUACUCUUAAUAAGAUUGUUUCUUUCGCAGACUUUAGUCAAAAUGAUUAUCAUUAAUUUGAGAGGAGGAUUCUGUGCUGGAAAUGUAGAAAUGAACGAUUCUUUAGUUUAUUUUAAUUGUACCAUCAACUUUGUGCCCUGAUAACAUAAUAUAAAUAUUGAACAUUACGAAAUCUGGAAGUGAAUAAAUAAACGACUCGUUUUUAGAUUAGGAACUGUUGAGCAGUUAUGCAAACAAAGAAAUACUUUUGAAAUCAGAUCUUCAAGACUGUGCAAAACCCCUAUCCAUUCUUAAUCGUGUUUCCGCCUUCAUCAACCCUGGAUAAUAAGCCCUGUAUGCUACAAGAGGAAAACACUUGUUUCAGCAUUUCAAUAGGAGUAAUAACACAAAAUCAAUUAAAAACAAUUAUGAAAAAAUAAUAAUAGAAAAACAAUGAUUUUAUUAUUUUAAAAUAAUCGUUUUGAAAAUAAUAAAAACUAUUUUCUCUUAGAAACGGCUACGCAAUCUUUUAACAGUGAAACGAUGUUUAUUAACUGCCCAACGUUUCGACACGGGAUUAGUGUCUUCUUCAGGGGAACUGGAAUUUACUUACAUGUACAAAUUCAAACUUUUACAUAAUUUUGUCGAAAAUAACUUACAUUAACUUGGUCGUUCUGGUCUUGUGUUUUGUCUAACUGUAACUGUCCUGGUAAUGUUUUUUUGGUACAUGCUGUAAAAUUAUUGUCAGUAGAGUUUGAAUUUGUACAUGUAAGUAAAUUCCAGUUCCCCUGAAGAAGACACUAAUCCCGUGUCGAAACGUUGGGCAGUUAAUAAACAUCGUUUCACUGUUAAAAGACUGCGUAGCCGUUUCUAAGAGAAAGUUGAAUCCCAACAGUCGAACCUCCAAUAGCAAAUAAAAACUAUUUUUCAAAUAAUUCAAAAUAUUCUACUAUUGAUCUUAUGGCAACUGAUGAAUUCAAUUGUUUUUUUUUAGCAAACACGUUUUUCUUAAGCUUAUGCUAGAGCUUGAUUAACCACCCGUGAAUGCUUCGAAAAUUUCCAUAGGAAUCUCUGGAAGGAUUCCCGAAAGAAUAUAUGGAUGAGUGAACGAAGGAAUCUCUGGAGUAAUUCUUCCAGAAAUCCUAUACACUACGGAAGGAAAUUGAACAAAGAAUAAUUCUUGAAGUAAUCUGUGGAGAAACUUUCUUUGAAUCUGUAGAAGAAUCAUAGAAAUAAAACUCAGGAGGCAUAAACGAAGAAAUCUCUGAAGAAGUUCCUGGAUACAUAACAAAGAAAUUCCGAAAGAAGCUCUGAAUAAAUAUUCUAUUUUGUAUUUGAAGUAAUUCCUUAAGUUAUCUCUGGAGAAAUAAACUAAGGAAUAUGUGAGAAAAUGCCCGAAGGAGUUUGUGGACGAAUUAUCGAAAUUAUUUCUAGAUAAAUUUCUAAAACAAAAUCCUGAAGAAAAGAGCAAGGUGUUUUAUGAAAAAAUAAUGAAUGAAUCUGCGCACGUAAUUUUGAAAGAAUAAUGUCUGGAUUAAGCUCCGUCGGGUUCUAUGAAGGAAUUCCAAAAGAAAUCUCUAGAGAAACUACCUUGGCAAUCUCUGGAUGAACUCACAAAGAAAACUCUGGACGGAUGAACAACGGAAUUUGAAGGAAACAUUCUUUAAGGAACUUUUGGAAGAAUUCUCGAAGUAAUCCUUGUGAGGAUUCUCGAUCGAGUCUGGAGGUUCUGGAAGUUCUAGAAGAAAAACGAAAGAAUGUGGGAAAAUUUUUAAACGAUGAAUUUGUGAUAAAAUCUAAGGAGUAAUUCCCGUAGGAUUGUGUGGGGUUGUUUCCUAAAGAAUCUUUGAAGCAAUUUUCGAAAAAAAAAUAUCUCUGAAAUAUUUUAGGAGAAAAUCCCGCAAGAACUUCCAAAUAAAAUUUUAACGGAAUAUAUAAAAUAAUCCCUUUAAAGAACAAAUAAAUUUGAGGAAAAUUCUGUGGAAGAAUUUUUAAAAAAAUCACCAGGGGAAUCACUGAAAUUUUCUAAUAAGAAUCAAGUUGAAAACCCUGAAGAAAUGAACAAAGAAAUAUUUUAUGAAAUGAAGAAAUUCUUUGAGGUAUCUCUGGAAUAAUUCCGGAAAAAAUAUGGGGAUGAAAAUCGAAGAAUUCAUAAUAUAUUUUUUUAAUUCUUAAUCACUUAACCUAAUUUACAGCUCUAUUGUCCACUGGGGCACUACGUGAGCAAUUUCAAUUGACAGCUGCACUUACAUUUUGUACAGCGCCUAGAUUCUAUUCUACUUUAUCGAACUGGUUGCCUUUCUGCUGCUUUCACUUUUUCUACUUUAUACCUAGUAGAAUGAUGAGCACAAGGAUGGUGAUGGAUGGCCGUUGUUCCUUUCCAGUCCGAUUGGGGGUCCACCAUUAUGAGUAGCAGUUCGCCGAUAUCCAGGUAUCCGUUUGAGCCGAUAUCCAGGGGUCCGUUUGAGCCAUGGGGCUCAGAAGAAGGUCAGUGUCAGUUGCUCUCGGGGGAAAAGCAACUGACGAAAAAUUGCAAGUGCCGGGGCUGGGAAUCAAACCCAUGACCAUCCGCAUAUGAAGCGAACGUGUGACCAACUACACCACGGGCCCCGGCUCAUAAUAUAUUGUUUGAAGGAAGAAUUUUCCAGUAGUUCCAGUGGGAUAUUUCGGAACUAUUUCCUAUACCCUUUAAUCCCUUUAGGAUUCGCAAAAGGUAUUUCUGGAGAACUACUCUUUAUCUGUCGAUUUUUAGCUUUGACUAGGCCUAGAUAAAACGGAAAUGAAAAAUAUGCGACAGUUAUAGUUAUUUAUGUAAGAGCAAAAAGUUAUUUUUUCAGCACGUGUCGUACAUUUAUCCAACGAGACUUGCCGAGUUGGAUAAAUACGAAGAGAGCUGAAAAAAUCGAGUUUAACAACGAGUUCUAUACAAAAUUUUAUGCAAUGAUUUUUUUUUAUAAUGCAACCCAUUUGAGUUGCAUAAUGUUCACUAUUUUUCAUUAUGCAACUCAUUUCAGUUGCAUAAUGAACCAGUUCGGAAAAAUUGGCCAUUAUGAUACUAAAAUAUAAAUUAUGAUACUAAGUUGCAUAAAAACUUUUUGAUGUUUUGCGGUUUUUGUCCACCUUUUUUAACUUGUUGUGGUAAAUCUCAGAAGGAACGUAUACAAAAGUUUGUUUGCACACAUACAAGUGUAAGUAAUGGCUGAAUUAUUGAAACAGUUUACAUCACAUAAAACAAAGACUAAACAAAGAAAAAAAUAGACGCGAAACUGUGACAGCUUAACAGCACAAUUGUCCUGGUUCGACACGAAAGGGAAAUCUCAGCAGGAAACUCCGAAGGAACCUGCGAUGAAAUUUAUGAAGGAAUAUUUUAAAGAAUUACUAAAAAACGUUCUUGUGAAAAGAACGAAGGAAUCUCUGAAGUUAUUCUCUCUUAAACAUCUUUGGAUGAAUUUUCGAACUAAUUCUUGACAAAAUGAACAUUUUUUUGCGAAAACCUUAAAUGAAUAUCAGGAGUGAUUUCCGGAAGAAUCUCUGGGCGAAUGAACUAAGAAAUCUCAAGAUUAGUUUUCUCAAAAAUCCAAACAUGACAAAGGAAUUUCUGAAGGACUGAACUAAGUAUGAUUUGAACUAAGUAUGGUUCCGUACAAAUAUCUAAAAAUAGUUCAGAAGAAAUUUCUGGAGAAUUCCUAUGAUAAUACAUUUUAUUAUUUUUAUUAACGAGAUUUUCAGCCCAGGGCUGGUUCAUCUCGGCUAAUAAUACAUUCAUCUCAUGAAAAUAUGUGUUUGAUACAUUCCCGAAGAAAUUUAUGGAGAAUUGAACGAAUUAAUUUUAUAGAUAAAAUCUUGAAGAAAUCUGUGGAGCAAUUCUAAAAAUAAUCUUCGGAGGAAUUUUCAAAAACAGUCACUGGAGAAAUUAAUCUCUGGAGAAAUCUCUGGAGGAAUUAAAAAAAAAACUUCAAAUAAUUCCACGGGUAAUAAACGAAGGUGGUUGUUGAAAAAACACUAAGCAAUUUGUGGACGAACUGUCGAAAUAAUUGCCAUAGAAAUCUUUGGAACAAUUUCUGGAGAAAUAAACGGAAGAAUGUCUGGAGUAGUUCUUUCAGAAAUCUCUGGAUACAUUCCCGAAGGAAAUUUUGGAACAUGAAAGAAAAUUUGUAUAUGGGUAUUUGAGCAAUCUGUUAACAAACUCUUGCAGUAAUUUUCCAAUAAUGUUUGAUGAAAUUUCCGAAAAAAAAAUCGCUGAAGGCAUGAAUGAAAAAAAAUCCUUAUCCAAAGAAAUUUCUGGAGGAAGCCCGAAAGAACUUCCGAAUAAAUUUUCAAUGGAAUGUUAAAAGGAAUUUUCCCAUCAACAACAGGGAGGAAAAAAGGGAAAUCUUCUAAAGGAAUUCAAGAAAGAAUUUUCAAAUAAUUUUUGGAAAAAAUACCGAAAAAAAAAUGAAACAAUUUCUGCCCUGGAUCUAGCCCCUCCAGCAAUCAUUGGAGAAAUGCUCAAAGGUAUCUCUGGAGAGAUAAACUAACGACGAAUAUGUGGAAAAAUCUUGAUAGAACUUAUGGAGGAAUGUUCAAAGAAAUCUGUAGGAAUCCUCGAUAGAGGAUAUUCGAAACAAAAUGGUGGAAACAUUCUUGAAAGACAAAUUCUCGAAAUAAUCGAUGAAUUUAGAGAACUAUUCCUGAAAAAUAUUCCAAAAGAUUCUCUGGAGAAAUAAACAAAUACAUCUUUGAAGUAAUUCUUUCAGACAUUUUGAAAUAAAUUUUCGUUGGUAUUUCUGGAGAAAUGAUUACAGAAAUAUUCCGUGAUAUUCUUGAAGAUAUCUUAAAUUUAAUCUCUGGAAUAAUAAGAAUCUCUGCUAGAAUUUUCUUUGUAAUCGCUGUAGAACUUUUCAUAGGAUUAUUUGGAAUAGGGUGACAAAGGGUAUUAUCGGCAGGUUUGUUCUUUUCGUCAUGGGGGGUUUUUGUGGGCCAAAUUGUCUGAAAUUUGGGCAUACAACUCCGCUGGGUUGGGAAGGAUUUGAGUCCAACUUUGAGAUCAACAGGUUUCAAAAACCCCCACAUGACGAAGAAAACAAAACUGCCGAAAAUACGUAAGUUCCCCUAUGUGUUCUGAGAGAACAAAGAAAUCUAUGGAUAGGUUGCUGGAGGAGUUUCUGGAGAAUUAGGUUCUUAAUUGAUUGUACGAUAAUUGGAAUCUCCAUCCGAAAGUGAAUCGAAAUCCAAAAUGUCAUCACAUUUGGUGCACGAGAAAAAAAUAAAUAAAUUAAUUUGAAGUUUGAAUGUCUUUUUUUCUUCGGGGCGAACUGUCAACACAUCUUUCCCAUUCUGUUUUGUUUAUUUUGACAUAACAAAGACAUUGGAACGCAAUAAAAUUGCGUUAGAAAAUUUGCUUUUUUAAUUAGGCAAUAGAAAAUAGCACUAUUUUAUUCAUUGAAUGACCCAAUUGAACAAUUAUUUUUGAAAAAUCCUAGAAGUAAUCUGUUAAGGGACUACAUCUUUGGACAAAGAUUCCGUGAAAAAGUUUGCAAUGAAAUAUUUACGGCAUUCCCGUAAUAACCUGUUUUGAAAUAAAAGAAGAAUUAGUGGAAAUAUGUUUAAAGAAAUUUGUGAAUGAUUUUACAAGAUAAUUUAUGGAGACAUUUGUGAAAAAGUCUCAAGAGGAAAGGAUGAGGUCAAUAACUGAAAGGUUUUGAAGGGAAUUUCGAAAUUAUCUGCGGUUAUUUCUCAAAUAAUCUCUCAAGAAAUUUCUGUAGGAAUCCAAAAAUACCUCUAAACAAUAUUUUGAAUGAAUAUUUGAAAGAAUUCUUAAAAUACUCUCUGGGCAUAUAAACGAAGUAAUUUGUGAGAAAAAUCCAUACGGAAUCUAUGAAUAACUGAAAGGAAUUGUGGACGAAUGAUUGAAAUUGUCUUCAGAGAAACGACGAAACCUGUUGGACAACUCGUGAAGGAAACUAUGAAACACUUUACUGGAUUCUUUUCAGUCGUUUUUUUUUUCAGAAAUCUAAAUACAUUCCCGGACACAAAAUCUGCUGGAUUGAACAAAACAAUUUUGUUGAAAGUCCUGAAGAAUAUUUGAAAGAAUUCUAAAAAUAGUCACUGGAGAAAUACAAAGUAAUUUGUUUGAAAAUUUCAGACGGAGUGUAUGGACUUGUUGUUGAAAAAAAAUACCCAGAGCAAUUCCCGAAAGACUCUCUUGCUGAUUUCACGAAACAAAUCGUGGAGAAAUGUCCAAAACCGAAUCUGGAAGACUGAACAGAGAAAUCACUGAAGUAGUUUUCUAAAAAAAUCUGUAGAUCAGUUUUCGGAGAUAUGUACACAUUUUUUUUUUAAAUUCUUGAAGGAAUCUGUAUUAAUUCUUAAAUUAAUCUGAAGUAGUUCCCUAAAAAUCUCUGGUGGAACUUAUUUCCCUCAAUCCCUGAAGGAAUCUUUGGAGAUUUUCUCUCAGAAGCCUCUGGAUACAUUCCCUUAGAAUUUUCUGGAAAAUUUAACAUAGAAUGUUUUUGGUAAUGGUUUAAGGCAUCUGUAGAGCUAUUUUUAAAUAAAUCUAUGGUGGAGAAAUUUCUGAAGUAAUCUCUAGACGAAUUCUAAUAAAAAUAUGUAAAAUAAAUCCCGAAAGAAGCUCUAAAUAAAUAUUUGAUAGAUUUCCCGAAAGUUUUUUUAGAGUUCUUUUUAAGAAAUUUGUGAAUAAAUUUCCGAUGGAAUUUCUAAAAGAAUUACCGUAGAAAUCUAUUAAGAAAUGGUUUAAGAAAUCAGAGAAGAAAUUAACAAAUGAAUUUUCGGAUGAAUGAACAAAAUUUUAGGGAAUUUUAUCAACGGAUUUUGUAGAACAAUUCUCGAAAAAAAAAUCCGAAAUAAACUCUAGUGGAUUUCUCUGAAGUAUUUUCCGAAAAAGUUUUUGGAAGAAAAUCAUAAGAAUAAGAAAUCUCGAGAAAAUUGUAAAGAACUAUUUAUAGUAUCAAAACAUCAGUAAUCAUAAUAAUAAUGAAUGCAAUGUAUGUAGAAAAUCUCGAAAGAAUGUCUAAAGGAAUAAUCUAUAGAAGAAAGACAAAGAAAUGUUCCACAGGAAAAUUCCGAGAGAACUUCUGAAGAUACAUUUGAAUGAAUUUCUAAAAUGAUCUCUGGAGGAAAUCUGUGGACGAUCAAUUCCAGAAAGAAUCUCUCGAAAUUUGUUAGAGUAAUUUUUGAAAGAAUUGCCAAAAAGUCUCAGGAGGAAAUCCCAAGAAAAACUGUGAAGAAAUAUUUAAAAGAGUUUGUAGGAAAAUUCCUGUAAGAUCUGUGCUCGAUUUUUCAGAGCGAUCUCCAGAGCAAUUCCAGAAACAUUCUGUUGGGAAUUUGCAAAAACAUCGUGGAGAAAUUAACGAAUCCACGAUAUCUCUGGAAUAAUUUUCUCACAAAUCUGAAACAAAAAAAUCUAGAAUAAAAAAUUUUUUUUGGGAAAUUAUGGAAAAUACUUGAGGUCAAUUCUCAAAAUUUAACUCUGGAGGAAUGCCAGAAAAAAAAAAUAUGAAGUAAUACCCUUAAAUUCCCAAAAAAAAAUCACGUAAGAGAUUCCUGUGAAAUUAGCCUUUAAUCCUAAAAGAACAUUUGAAUAAAAAUUUGAAGGAUUUUUUGAAAGACUUUUGAAAAUAUGCUCUGAAGGAAAGAACGAAGUAAUUUGUGGGAAAACAUGAGACGGAAUUUGAGGAUAUAAUUUCGAAAUAAUCUCCUGAGGAAUUUACGAAACAAAUCCUGGAGAAAUUCGCAAAAGAAUAAGUACUGUAUCGGAAAUUAACUAUAAACUUUCACAACUGCCUAAAAACUAAUCUAUUCGAAAUAAACAUAACUUUAUUUUUGGAGAUACUAUAUAAAUCUCGAAUGAAUUUUUGACAAAAUGAAAAAAGGAAAAAAAAAAUGGCACUUAUGAUUUUUUUACACAUGUUUCUAAAAUUUUGGACACCUCUUAAAAAUUUAAAAUUGCGGAAACUGUGGGGAAAUAUUCAUUUUUUCUCUUAUUUUUACGCAAAUAUAUUCUUUUAAAGAACGCUCAUAUAGGAAAACUAUUUUUAUCAAGAAAACAUUCUACCGCAGUUUCGCGCAAUUCUUAAAAAUGAAAAAAAGGCCAUUUUUUGAGAAACUCUUUUUAUAUGCGUCUUCAAAGAACGAUUACGCAAAUAAAAAAAUACAUAAAUUUUAAAAUUCGCAUUUUUUCUAUUGGGCAUGUAUUUAAAUGUAGUGAAGAAGUAGUUUACCAGAGAACGGAUUUUUAUAACCUCUGAAGAUAUUUAAAACAGAGCGUCAAAGUUCGACCAAAAUUAAGUGUUUUUAGAGAUAGACCAUUUUCUAAAUGUUGGAGGUUUUUCUAUCUAAAAUAAGAAUUUUUAAAGUCGGUAUUGAGUGAUAUGUUAUGUAUACAUCCAGAUUUUUUCCCGAAUUAUUUUUUGCGCUACAAAUUAUUGAAACGUUAAAAAAAAUUAAAAAUGCAUUUUGUACAGUUUGUUAUUUGUGUGGUGUACUCAUAGAACCAUGUUUUCAAUAAUACUAAAUAUUUUUCAAAUUUCUCCAAGCUGUUCUAAACUUAACUAUAUUGUAAAGAUUUCGUAGAAGAACCGGAAUAAAAAAAAACCAACCGUGCUUCGAGAUAGAGCAUUUUGAACAUUUACAGUUAAUUUCCGAUACACUCCUUAUCACGAAAACUGAACAAAUAAAUCUCUAAAUUAGUCUUUCAAUAAAUUUUCGAAGACAUUUCUGGAGAAAUUGAUAUUUUUUGCACAAUUCUUGAAAGAAAAAACUUUGAAUCUUUUCUCUAAUGAGUCUCUGAAGUAAUUCUCAAAAAACAUGUAGUGACAUUUACUUAGCAAUCUUUGUAGAAAUUUCCAUAUGAAUCUCUGGAGGAAUGAACGAAGGUAUUCUAGAGUGAUUCUCUCAGAAAUUUCUGCAUAAUGUAUGCAAAGAUUUCUGAGAGAAUUACUCCAGGCAUUUCGGAGAAAUUUCCUCUUAGAUUUAACAUAGAAUGUUCUUGGGAAGUUCUUGAAGGAAUCUGUGGAAAAAUGUUGGAUGGAAUUUCUAAAUUAAUUAUCUGGAACCUCUGCAAUAUAUAUUUUAAACAAAUAUUCCAGAAAUAAUUUCAGGAGAAUUUUACAAAACAGUUUUGUUGGAGUAAAUCUUAAAAUGGAUAUCCGAAAGAUUUUCCAAAAAAUAUGGAGAAAAUUCCAAAAAAAUCAUGAAUAAAUUCUAAAUGGAGUAUUUAAAAAAAAAUCCCACUAUCUGAAUGUAUUUAUGAGAAAACUCUCGGAGGAAAUUUUAGACGAAGUAUCUAUAUAACUAUUAAAAACAUUUACAGAGAAAAUGAAAGAAUGAAUUUCCGAAAGAAUACAUGGAGAAAUGAACGCUGAUGUAAUUUUCUUGAAGGAAUCUGUGCAACAAUUCUUAAAUAAAUCUUUAGGAACUUUCUUGAAAAAUCUCAGGUAGAAAUUCCUUACGAAUCUAUGAAAUUCUCAAAGAAAUCUCUGGAGGAAUUAAAGUAGGAAUCUCUGGAGUUAUUCUCUUACAUCACUGGAUACAAUCCCGUAGCAAUUGAAAGAUUGAAUAAGAUUGAAUCAAGAAUGUUUCCUUGAGGAAAUUCGUGGAGCAAUUCUCAAAUAAAUCGGUGAAGAAAAUACAGAAUAAAAACUCAGAAGGAUUUGGAUUUGGAUGAUUUUCCGAAAAAUCUUAAAAGAAAAUCCCGUAAUAAGCUCUGAAUAAAAAUUUAAAAGAUUUUUGAAAGAGUUAUUAAAAUACUCUUUGUAAGAAAGUACGAAGUUAUUUGUGGGAAAGCUUGACACGGAAUCUAAGUAUACAUUUUCAGAAUGAUCUCCCAAGGAAUUUACGAAGCAUAGCCUGGAAAAAAUCCCAAAAGAAAAUCUCGAAAACGAAUCUUUGCAAAAAGUCUUUGAAGUACUUCUAAAAAUACCUGUGGUGGAAUUUUCUUAGAAAUCUUUGUCAAAAAGGUAAUUUAAAUCUCUGGAGGAAUGAACGAAGGUAUGUCUAGAUUAAUUCGCUCAGAAAUCUCUGCAUCAUGUAUGUAAAUAGAACACAGAAUGUUCUUGGAAAAUUGAUAUGGAAAAUUCGAAGAAAUAUCUACAACAGUUCUCUGGAAACUCUGCACUAUUUUUUAGAAAUAUUCCCGAAGCACUUUCAGGAGGGUUGAGCAAAACAUAAUUAUUGAAUUAAUCUCUGGAUGAAUUCUCAAAAAAAAAAUGUGGAACAAAUCCUGAAUAAAUUUUCGAUGGAGUCUUUGAAAGAAUUCCUGGAAAAUUCUCUGGAGCAAUAAAUGAGGGAAAUUUGUGAGAAAUUUCCGAAGGAAGCUUUGUACGUAGUAAAAUAAUCAUUGACAAUAAUAAUCAUAAUCAUUGAUAAUAAUCUAUAUAAUCAUUGAAAGAAAAAUAAUUUCAGAAUGAAUUUUCGACAGUUUGAACUGGAUGAAUGAACUAAGAUAUUUUUGGAAAUUCUUGAGAAAAUCUUUGCAGCUAUUCUGCAAUGAAUCUGGAAACUUUCCCGAAAAAUCUGUGGUAGAUUUUCCUGACGAAUCUAUUCAGAAAUUCCCAUAGGAAUCUCUGAAUGAAUGAACGUGGAAUUGGUUAAGUUAUCCUCUUUCAGAAAUCUUUGAAUUCAAUCCCGUAACAAUUUAUGGAAGAUUGAACAAAGAAUGUUUUAUUGAAGGAAUUUGUGGAGAAAUUCUCAAAUAAAUCUGCAUAAAUAUAAACUCAGAAGGUGCAAACGUAGAAACCUCCAGAGAAAUUCUUGAGGUUAUCUUUGAAUGAAUUUCCACAAAAUCGGAAAAGGAAAUCCCGUUUAAAGCACUGAGUAAACUUUCGAUGGAAUAUUUGAAGGAAUUCCCAAAAGAUUUUUCCAAAUUUUCCAAAAAAAAGCCCAGUUCCGUGUUUAAAAGGAAUCACUGACCGAUUCCUAGCAGAAACUCUUAACUUACUGUCAUUAACCCGUAAAUAACCGGGACGAUCUUCUUUUGGUAGAAAUGCAAUAUCUUCUUUGUUUUAAAACAUUUUACCUUGGAUUUUCUUUUAUAGUUAAGGGCAAUAGUUGAGCUAAGAAAUGCAUGAUACCUCCCCCCUUUGCACCCGGGAGCCGAAAAUACGUGACUUUUUUGUAUUUUUUUUAAAUAUAUUCUACAUGUUUUUGCCAAAUUUCAUCGUUUUGCUAAUCAUUUAUAAUUGUCGGUGAUCCUUGACAUGCAAUGUAUUAGUACCCAUAAUAGUCUGUUGAAGUUUUGCUCCCAGAACUAUUCUAAGGCCUCCAAAGUACUCCGAAGUUUGUGACACAAAUCCAACUUUCUCGACCAAAUUUCAUACACGAUGAAUGAUCACAGAACAUAGUCAACGGUACCCAAAAAGUCUCAAAGCACCCCUAGAAAACUCAUGGUACAUGAAUUGGGUGAUCUAGGUCAUCCAAACUACUCUGGAAUACAUUUUCUUAAGAUUGUUUCUCUUUACUUUAUCGAUGUAAUUCUUUCACGAUUACCUCUAUUGUAUUUCAUAAUAUUUUGAGUAUUUCUUUGUGUUACUUGUGCAUCCACUGGCAUACAAAUGAUCUUUAUGAUAUUUUGAAGUGUCGGAAAUUACCCGGAGUUUCUCGGAAAUUUCUCCAAGUUCCUCAAAUUCUCCGAUGAUUUCACGGGAAUUCCCCAAAGAUUUCUCCAGGCGUUCCCUUAAUUUCUCCUGGGAUUCCUUCAGGAAGUUUUCCUAGAAUUCCUCCAGGAAUUUCUCCAAAGAUUGCUCCAGCGAUUUCUUUAGAAAUUCUUCCAGGGAUUCCUCAAGUGAUUCCUCCAGGGAUUCCUUCGCGUAUUCCUCCAUGGACUCAUCAAGGAAUUCAUUCAAGUAUUCCUCCAGAGCUCCUUCAGGAAUUCAUCCAAGAUUUCCUCCAACAACUGAUUCAGGGAUUUCUUCAGGAUUCAAGUGAUUCUUCCAGAAAUUCCUCCAGAGUUUCUUCCACAAAUUAUUCCAGGGAUUACUUCAGGAAUUCUUCCAGGGAAUGUCUAUGGAUAAUUUUCCCGGGUAAUUUCUCCAGAAAUUCCUCCAGGAAUUCAGCCAGGAAUUUCUCCAUGAAUAACUGCUAAUUUAUCUAUGAAUUUAUCAAGGGAUUCUUUCAGAAAUUCCUCCACGGUGUCCUCCAAAUACUCUUCCGAGAGUUCCUCCAGGAAUACAUCCAGGCAUUCCUCCACAAAUUGAUCACGAUAUACCUCCAGCAAUUCCAACAGGGGUUCUUCCCGGAAUUCCUCACAGAUAUUCUUCUUGAAAUUCUUUCAGGAAUUCCAUCAGUCAUUCCUCCACGGAUUUCUCCAGAAAUUCUUACAGGAACUCCGGGAUAUAUUCCAGAAAUUCCUCCAGCAAAUACACCAGGAUUUCGUUCAGGAAUAUUUCCAGGAAUUUCUCCUGGAAUUACUCUACGAAUUCCUUCUGGAAUUAUUAGUCUAGGAAUUAUUCCGGGAAAUACCCCAGGAAUUCCUACAAGAAAUAUUCCAGGAAUUCCUCCAGGAAUAAUUGCAGUAAUUUCUACAAGAAUUGCUGUAGGAAUUAUUACAGGAAUUUCUCCAGAAAUUCCUUCAAUUCCAGUUAUUGCGGGAAAUAACUUUGCCUAGGGUAUAACUUUUUUCACAGCCAUCGGAUCACUUAGCGGUCUUCGACAAAGUUCUUUGGCAUAUAGUCACCUACAAUAAUACCAAAGGGUUUGAUUAUUGACCGCUUACAGCGCCACCUAGCGGCAAAAUCCGAAAACUUAAAAUUUCUGCAUACAUUUGGCCAAGUUUUCCCAUACAAACUUCAAGCGUUUUGAGCGCCCCCUUAGGCUCAACCGAUUUUGCUCAAAUUUUGAACGUAGCUUCUGGGAGUCCAAAACAACUGAUUUAGGAGGUAGGACUUGGUAUUUUUCGAAUUUUUUGUUUUUCAUAUAAGUGUGGGCCACCCUAAUCUAGGAGGUAUUCAUAAAGGAGUUUCUGGAGAAUUUUUCAAAUGAAUUCUUGAAGGAAUUUUCUGAAAAAAUCCCUGGUGGUGUUUCUGGCGAAAUUCCUGAAGAGAUACUUGGCAGAAAUCUUAGAGGGUUCUCUGGUGAAAUUCUUGGGGAAGGUCCAGUAGGAGUUUUUGGAAUGCCUGGAGGGAUUCUUGGAAGAAUUCUAGGCAGUUGUCUUGGAGGAAUUCCUGGAUGAAAUCUUGGAGAAAUUCCUUUUUCCUGGAAAUAUUUAAACGAGGAAUUCCUGGAGGACUUCCUAACGGAAUUUCCGGAGAAAUUUCUGAGGGAAUUUCUGGAGGAAUUUCUGGAAGAAUCCCUUGAGGAAUUCCUGAAGAAAUCCCUGGAUUAGUUGUGGGAGGAAAUUUUGGAUGAAUUCCUGAAGUCCUGAAGUCCUGAAGGAAUUCCUGGAGGAAUACCUGAAUGAAUUCUUGGAUGAAUCCAUGAAGGAAUCCAUGGAGGAAUUCGCGAAGGAAUCCCUGGGGGUAUUCCUGAAGAAAUCCUUGAAGGAUUCCUUGAAGAAAACAAUCCCUUAAGCAGCAACCCAGGAAGAAAUUCGAUAAAUUUCGCACCAUCGAAAAAUUUCAUGCACUACUAAAGCUUUUCAAUCGUAACCGUGGCCUUCACCAUUAUUAUUAUAUGAAGUUUCGUGCAUAAAAAUACCUAUGUCAACUCUAAUGCAUCAUGCUGAAAGCAUGUACCAUCUUUGAAUGCCAUGCUUCAUAUCAGCAUUCUCUGCACCAUCCCAAUGAUCUCAGCGUUGUCUAGGGAUCCUAUACACCACGGUGAAUUCAUGCACCUUAACUGCCGCACGCAAUUUGAUUUUUAUGCAGCAACUAAUGUUUACACCAUCUAAAAAUCUCAUGUUUCAUUUUAGCAUUCUAUAUAUCAAAUUGCAAUUAUUUGCUACGCAUGUACUAUCUUGGCGUUCCCUUGAUGAUUCCCUUGGAGGAAUUCAUGAGGAAUUCAUUGAUGAAUUCUUGGAGGAAUAACUAGAGAAAUUCCUGGAGGAAUCCCUGGAGGCAUUCUUGAAAGAAUCAUUGGAAAAAAAUCUGGAGGAGUCCUUCGAGAAAUUCAUGGAAGAGUUUCUGGAGAAAUUCAGGGACGAAUUUCUGGAGGACUUCUUGGAGGGAUUUCUGGAACAACCCGUGGAGGCAUUCCAGAAGGAAUUCCUGGAGGAUUCUCAGGAAGAAAAUUUGGAGGCUUUCCUAAAGGAAUCCUUGGAAAUCCAGGAGAAAGCUUUGGAAAAUUCCUGGAGAAAUCCACGCUGUAAUGCUAGAAGGAAUUCUUGAAGGAAUCUGUGAAGGCAUUCCAGAAUGAAUCUUUGGAGAAAUUUCAGGAGAAAUCCCUGAAGAAUUCCUAGAGAAAUUUCUGGAAGAAUUCCUGGAAGAAUCCCUGGAAGAACCCUGGAAGCAAUCUCUGGGGGAUCCCCAGGAGAAAUCCCCAGUAGAAACCCUCUUAAAUUUCCUAGAGGUUUUUCUAGAGAAAUUCCUGUAAAAAAUAUGCCAGAAUUCCUGGUAAAACUUCUGGAGGAAUUCCUGGAAGAAUCCUUUGAGAUAUUUCUGGGAGAAUAUUUUCGGCUUUCUGAAGGAAUUAUUGAAGCAACUUCUCGAGGAAUUUCUGGAAGAAUUCCUGGAGGAUUUUCUGACGGGGUUUUUGAGGAAUAUCUGAAGAAAUUCAUUGAUGAAUCCCUGGAUUUCCUGAAGAAAUUCUUGUAGAAAUUCCUGGAAAUUCCCUGGAGAAAUUUCUCGAGGAAUUUCUGGAAGAGUUCCGGGAGAAUUGAUUUUUCUGGAAAAAUCCGUGGAGGAAUUCUUGUAGGAAUACCUAGAUGAAUUACUAGAGUUAUACCAGGAGAAAUUUUUUGAGAAUUUCCAGAAAAAAAUCCUAUAGAAACCAAUGGAGGAAUUCACUAGGAUUUUCUCGAUAUUUUCAAGGAAUCCCUGCAGAAUUCUGAAGGAAAUUUUGGAGGAAUUCCAGAAGAAAAUCCCGAAGGAGUUCUUUAAGGUAUUUUUGGAAAAUAUUUUAGACUUCCUGCAGAAAUUCCUACAGGAAUCCCUGGAGAAAUUCCUGGAGAAAUUCCUGGAGGAUUUUCUUUAGGAAUACCUGAAGAAUUCCUUUAAAAAUCCCUGCAUUCCAAGAGGUAUUUCUGGAGAAAUUCCUGAAGAUAUUUUUGGAAGAAUUCAUGGAGGAAUUCAUUGGUGAAUUCUUGGAGGAAUAACUAGAGGAAUUCUUAAAGGAAUUUCUGGACAAAUAUUUAAGGAUUCCGGGAGGUAUUCUGGCAGAAAUUCCUAAAUUUCUGGAGAAAUUCCUGCAAGUAUUUCUGGAGACUUCCAUGGAGGUAUUCCUGGAAGAAUUCCUAGAAGAGUUCGGUGAGAAAUUGAUUGAGGAUUAUGUGGAGUAUUCCAAGGCGAAGUUCCUUGAGAAAUUCCUGGAGAUGUUCCUGGAGGAAUUUCUGAAGAAAUUCUUGGAAAAAUUCCUGGACAAAUUCCUGUAGGAAUCUAUGGAGGUAUCCCUGGAUGAAUUCUUACCUAGCGGAUUUUCUGGAGGAAUCCCUGGAGGAUUUAUGAAGGAAUUUCUGAAGGUUUUUUUGGAAGAAUUUAUGGAGGGAUUCCUGGAGGAAUUUUUGAGCAAUUUCUGAAGAAAUUCAUGGAUGAAUCCCAAAAAGAAAUUCCUUGAAAAUUUCCUGCAGAAUUUCCUGGAGGAAUCCCUGGAGGCAUUUCCAGGAGGAAUUCCUGGAAGGGUACCUGGAGGAUUUUUUUAGAAUUUUGAGGAGUAAUCCGUGAAGCAAUUCCUGGAGGAAUCCCUAGAGAAAAUAUUGGAGAAAUUCUGGCAGACAUUCCUAGAGGAUUUUUACGAGAAGAAAUUUUAGGAGGAAUUCCUGGAGGUAAAUCUGGAGGAACUCCUGGAGGAAUUCCCGGAGUAUUUACUGGAGUUAUUCCUGUAGAAAUUAUUUGAGGAAUUUCUGGAGAAAUAUAUAAGGCUUCCAGGAGAAAUUUCCAUUGGCGUAGCUAGAGGCAGGGCCUGGGAGGCAAUUUGUGGAGGAAUCAUUGGAGGAUUUCCCAGAGAAUUCCCGAAGAAAUCCUUGAAAGAAUUCCUAGAGGAAUCUCAGGAGGAAUUCAUGCAGGAACCCCUGGAGGAAUUCUUGGAAUGAUUCAUGGAAAAACUCCGAGAGGAAUUUCCGGGGGAAUUUGUUCAGGAGCCCCUGGAGAAAUUCCUGAAGAAAUUGCGGUAGUAAUUUCUGGAGGCAUUCCUUUAAGAAUUCCUAUAUGAGUUCCUGGAGGACUUUCUGAAGGAAUUCCUUGGGCAUUUCUGAAGAAACCUCUUAAAAAAUUCCUGGAAAAAUUCAUAGAGAAAUUUCUACAGAAAUUCUUGGAAGAAUCCCUAGGGGAAUUCUUGGAAAGAACCGUGAAGGAAUCCCUGAAACAAAUUUCAGGAGAAACCUCAGAAGGCAUUCCUGGAGGAAGUUCCGCACAACUUCCAGGCGGAAUCCCAGGAGGAAUUCCUGGAGAAAUCUCUAUAGGAAAUCUUAGGUAAAUUCCAUGGAUAGUUCAUGGAAGAAUUUCAAGGGCGU